rnacentral:tRNA from 1 species
CGGGGUGGAGCAGCCUGGUAGCUCGUCGGGCUCAUAACCCGAAGGUCGUCGGUUCAAAUCCGGCCCCCGCAACCAAU